UCCAACAUUUCGUAUUGCUCCCACGUUCAGCACCAACCAUAUUUUAGCACCAUGCACCACACGCCCCAGAAAAAACAUGCCCCUUCCUGCUCUGGAACCACCCCACACGAUCCCUUCCCCUACCUCUUCCAUCGCCUUCAUCGCGGCACACCAUCACCUCCCUCCUUGCCCCAACACGCUUCUCUCUGAUACCCACUGCCCCUCCGUGGUGCCUCCCUUCGGUAUGUACCACCUAGCAACAGCGCCUCAUGCACCUCCCUGCAUAGCGAAGGUGCACCGCGCAUCCGCCCCACCUCGGGUGCUCUCUGAAGAGCCUUGUCGUCUCCACGGUCCACCUCCUUAGCCAACCAUGCCACCCCAUCCCUUUGCCGACCCCCUGUGGUGAUAGUGGACGGCAACAUCUCACCUGAAGGUCACAUGGUGCUAUGAAUUUCAUCUCCAAUGCAUCUUGUGAGGGGCGGGCAGGCUGUAGAGGGAAGGAGAGUUGGGAGGUGGGGGAGGGGAGGAGGCGAUUGGCAAUGGCACGUCGGCGACAAAGCAGAUGAGUUGGGAGGUGGGAUAUUGGAGCCACAUAAAUCUGUGGCCUUAAAACCUGGCACUUUCCCUCUAAAAAAAGCAAAUUUGAUUUAGUUUACAUGACAAUGUUUGUGAAACCUUCUCAAAUUUUAUAGUACCCUCUAGGGAUGAUGUAAUUACACCAAUGCCAAGUUUCAUGUUUUAGACUUCGUUUGCAUUUUGUAUAAUUAAAAACCAUUAAGAUCAAUGUUUGGGAUCAAGUCUUGGUA